rnacentral:lncRNA from 1 species
GUCAAAUUUUGUGUUUAGGACUUUGGUUAAUAAAGGGAAAGACUCACCAAUAUUCUCCCACUAGUCUUUUAUCAAAUAGUUACCAAAGCCCUUUGACAGCUUGUGUAAUCAGGAGUUGAUGAUCUAGCCUAAUACUGGGAGACAGACUAGUGAUAAAAUUACUAAAGCAAACCUAUCGUAAUGCCAUAAUAUAACAAAAUGUAAUGCUGGGUCCUAGAGCUGAUGUUGAGUCAGGGAAAAUACUGCUAUAAAGAACAUUGGAAAAUUUACUGAUAUUAAAUUUACUCACUGUGAUAAUAAUACUGUGGUUAUUUAGGAGAUUACCCUUGAUCCUAGGAGACAUGCAGAGGUUUUGGGGUCAUGAUAUCUACAACUCAUUUUCAAAUGGUUAAAAAAACAAAAAGGAUGUGUGUGUGUGUGUGUGUGUGUGUGUGUGUAUGUGAACAAGAGUAAGAGAGAAAGAAAAAGCAGAUAUAUCAGAAUGUUUACAAUUGGUGAAAGUAAUACAUGGGUAUUCCUUUAUGAUUUUUAUAACUUUUUGAAGGUUUGAAGCUAUUCAAAUGAAAAUAGAAAAAAAAAUAGUUAAGUGGGAUAGCCGUGUGUAUGCAGUGCUACAGGGAUGAAAGACAAUUAUGUUUGAGAUAAUUAUAAUAGCUAGUCUAGUGAAACAAAGUUUCAAGUUAUUUAAUUUUAUAAGUUUGAAGCCCAGAAGAAAAAUGUAUUGGUGACAAGAGCCUGAGAAUUCUGAAAGUGGCACUAAUCACACAAUUCCGCAGAACAAGGUAAGAGGCAAUUUAGACCAGGCCCAGUUUAUUAACCUCUCUCAACCCCCAGGAGAAAAGCAGGAUUAUUUUGAGGCACAGUGUGGUUAUAUAACUCACCUCAGGUCACACAGCAAGUAGCUGAGUCAAAAGGUCAAAAAUCACACUUUUGCCAUUCAGUCUCUACUUAAGUACUCUUGUACUUCUUCCAAUAAUUUUGUGUUGAAUUGAGUUUAGAUAUUUCAUUUAAGACAUUUUUCCAUCUACUUUUUCAAGUUUUAUUUAAAGCAUCCAAAGGAAUCCAAUUAUGGUUAGAUGAUUAUUGAAAUAGCCAAAUUGAAACUGCUGAUCUGAUUACUUCUGUAGUGCUAAUUAUUCUGAUUUUUCCUUCAUCAUGAUCAUAAAUGACUGUAAAUGCUUUGUCUGGUCACUGAUUUUUGAAGACUUUCAGUGCAAUCGGAUCUACUCUGCUGCAAUUUGAAUUGUUCAAAAUGGUAAAACAGGAUAUAUUUUAAUGCAUAUCAAGUCUAUGCAUAUAUCUUGAAACAAAAACGAUUCAAUUCAUGGUUAGGAGGACUGAGAUUAAAAAAACAAAAAGAUGGUAUUGAACAAACCUUCUCCAAUUCUUCAUCCAAGCUGUUCAUCUCAGGAGCAGUGUCACCAGAAUGAUAUCAGAUCCCCUUGAGGUACGGCAAGACUGCUUAUUUUAACUUUAGGAAAAUAUAAGUGUUUGAGAAGAUAGUCAAAUGUAAAAUCGUGGAUAUUUUCCUUUAAGGUUCAUAAGAAAGACAAGGGGCAGUCACUUAGAUGAAGAUCUAUUUGAUAGAAAAUUGCAAACACUAAAGUGCCUUUAGAAAAAUUCUCCCUUAAGAUUAUUAGAAAAAGAAAAGAUGACGGACGAGGAGAGAGGUGAGACUUUAAACUGAAAGUAGUGGUAAUCUUCUGCCUUCUGCAAUUUGGGGUAAAGCAGUCUUGCAUUUUAUUCCACUGAUGUUUGUUUCUUUUCACUGCGAAGAUUCAACCUUCAGAGCAGAACCUGACAGGUUGUGCUCUGUUAAUCUAGCCUUCUGGGAAACUGUCUUCAGUUGAAUAAUAGCAACGAAUCUCUGAGCUCACGCCUGUUCUCUGUGCUCAUUCAUCUCAACCAAGCUGCAGCAGAUAUCUUAAAUGAGCCAUAUAGAAGAGCAUUUCACAAAUAACUUAAACUUGAAGUAGUUUUGAAUAAUGUUGCCUUUAGUUUUUAUUUCUGGGUUUUAUUAUGUUCAUCAUGAAGUUUAAUGGAAAGUAUUUUGAGAGAAGGAAUUAAAAUGUGAAAAAUUUCCAGGAUCUAAAUGAUUUAAAUGGUAAUCCAAAACAUUUCUUCUGAGAAGUAUUAUUGUUUUUGUGUGUGUGUGUGUGUGUAUGUGUGCCAGAUAAGAGCAUAAUUGUGCAUCAUCCCAAUCAAAAAUCUUGAGCACAUUAGUGUAUUGAAAAGUCAUGAAGUUAACUAUUUAUAUUUAAUAUACUUCUUUGGAUAUUCUCCUGUGAUAAAUAUAGGCUAUAGCCCUUGAAUUCACUCUUUGGUUACAUGGAAUCUAUAAUUUUUAGAUAAUGAUUAGUUGAUUUUCUAAUUUUUAUUUUUGCAUGGAAGUAUUGUAUCCCUUAGUUGUGAGGCAUGCUAGGGAUGCCAAAGACAAAUCCAGGUGUUGAGGUUCACCUUUGGGAGGACUGGCUCCAUGUGGCGAAAGCUAGUGUUUAAUAGAGCAGUGUCCAGGGAGCAAUGGUAACUCUGGGGACAGUGAUGUGUGAUAAGGUUGCUGUCCUAGAGGUUUACUCUCUUGAAUAGGACAUAAAGUCACCAGACAGGGGUAAAGAUGCAGUUGGUGGAUGGUAUCAUUUUAAUUUCAGAGAAAUAAAGGAAGUCCUGUCUUUAAGGAUCUGGCAUGCAGUUUGGGGCUGGAAAGCUGGUAAAUUCUUACUGGCUUCAAGCUCCAUCCAAAUAGGCCAAAUUUUAGGGCAGGACUCCAGUCCCAUUGGCAGGAUUGUAGGUUCUCUCAGGAAUAAAAGGAAAAGGCCAGUUCUUGGGAUGAAGAGCUGUGUUGGGCAAGUUUUAUGGUAAGCCUAGGUGGAUGCUGAAUUGUAAAUUGUAUUCUCCUCUGCUGGUAGUCCUGGGGUUCAUUUUCAGUUAGGAUUAAUUCAGGUAUUCGGUUAGACUAAAUUUUCAGAUAAUCAUUGGGACUGAACCAAGCAUCAAGAGGUAGGACCUGAUGGUUGAUAGACUACUAUUUCUAUGCCAGCUUCCAGAUCUUAGUAUUGCAAUGGUAUAGUGUACAUGCUCAGAGUAGGUAUUGAUUUGACAGUUGUGAUUCAUUCAAUAUGAUCCCCUAAGUAUACCUGAGUUAAUAGUGUAAAUGGAUGUCCAGAAUCCCCAUCUUGGCUAUUGAGAAUGGCUUUAGGAUGUAUUUAGACUAAAAAUUUUAUUUAUUUUCCUACUUUUGAAAGUGAUCAUUUAAAAUAUUUCCUUUUAGUACCCCAUUAACUAUACUUAAAUAGUAACAUUCACCUUCUUUAAAACUGAAGUAAACCCUACUUAUUGCUUUACACCAGUCCUUUGGCUAGCAAGAAUGCAACAGUAGUAAGGUUCACCACAUUGAAACAUUUACCCCCCUGAGGCUGUCUUCCUGCUGAGUUCAGAGUCAGACACUGCUUGCUCUCAUGAUUAAAAAUGAGAUAUUUUUCACAUAUACACAUGAUGUUAUUGAAGCUAUGGGAAGAAGUCCCCUUUGAGCAUUUGUAGAGAAGAUUUGUUCCGUCAUUCACAUCUGCUCAACUCAUCUUAUGGAUGCUGACUGUAUUUGCAGUUAGUGGUGAAUUUUGCCAUUAGAUAGCAAGUUUCUUUCCACUUGCCCACUUGCGACAAUUCACAGUUCAGUGUAACCAAGCAUAUAUAUAUAUUUUUUUUUUGAAUUUCAUUUUUUCCCCUUGCGUAUGGGCUUUGUGAGUCAGAGUUUUCUUUAUAAAAUUUUUACUUUCAGAAAAUUUCCUAGUAAUUACUAAGUGCAAUCACCUCCCCCCACACCAUGACCUACAUGAAAACCAAGACUCAGAGAUCUGAAAUAAUAUUGCCUGAGCUCAGUUGCUAUUACAUGAAUCCUAAAAUCCUAUUUUUCAAACUAUAUCUAUUUUUUUUAGAAAACAUUUAUAUUUUAUAAACAUACUACUGAUUUGCAAACUAUUGAAAAAGUGCUUUUUUGACUUUUUUUAAACCUCUGUCUCUAAUGAUUAGAUUUGUUUGAUGGCCACUUUUUCCUGGAUUCUUUUUACCAAUGUACUAUUAUUCAAUUAAAUCCACUGUCAAUUCCAUAACAGUGAUGAAGAUAUCCGAAUACUGUCAAGAAGGUAAGUUUUUAUGAAAUUAAAUACUCAAAUGACAAAUUUAAAGAAUAUUAGCCAAAUUUUCAGAUGUUUCCUAAAUCUGUACAUCUGUGGAAUUCUGUGGAGAAAUUUUCAGAUUAGUGCCUGAAAGGCUUAACCAUCAUUGGAAGGCAGCUUCCAAUGAGAAGCUUUUUAAAAACUUUUCCCAUGUUAUUUUAAAUUAAAAAAAUCAAAAGACUAAUGAUGCUGUCCAGAAAUACUGAUUUAAUUGUUUUUAUUAGAUUAAAUUUAUUAAAAUGGAUCUUUCUUACUGUCUCAUCUCUUACAAUGCAAUCACAUUUACGUGUGUAUGAGCAGAGUAUUCUCAAUGGUGUCUUCAGAUUUACAUCAUUGAUUACUUAACACAACCAUUAAGUCCAUUAUUAAUUUAAUACCAGCAAAUAUAAGAUGAAUAAUUACUAAAUAUUAUCCAUUAAUAUGUACCUAGGGCCACAAUGUUAUACAUUUAAAUUAUCUCUGAUUAUCUGUCAUUUUCCUUUAUAGAUACAUAUUAUAUUAACAUACUCAAAUAUCUGAAAACUCAGAUUAGCUUUAUUUAAAAUCAUAUUUUGUAGGACAUCACAGCCAGAAAUUGGCCCUGUGUAGGCAUCUCUCUGAGAGGAAUGUUAAAAUUGUCACAAUUGUCAUUCGAGGUGAGUUCAAGUUAUUGCUUUAAAAAUGCCUAAAGGAAUCUCUUGCCUUAAGGUUUUAUAAGUUAUUCUCAUAAGAAAAGUUAGUUUAAAAUAAGUGAACUUACACUAUGAGUCUUGAAAAUUGUUUAGCUUAUUAAAUAGUUAACUUAUGGAUAUGAAAUUCAUUAGUUUUAAAAGGUUACAAAUAUGAUUACUUCAACUAUAUAUGUAGAUAGCCAUUUGUUUACAUAUACAUACUCCUGUUCAUGUAUUCAAUACAUAUUUAUUGAGCAUCUACUUGACUCCAGGCACAUUGUUAGGACAGGAAAUAUAAUAGAAUCAAAAUAAGCAUGGCACCUGCCCUUGUAGAUCCUGUAUAGCAUGAGGAUCACUGCUAACUCCUGCUCCUGCUCUCCUGGCAGGCAUCACUAAUCAACAAAGACAUUCUCAGAGCUUGGAGCUCCUCAACUUUGUCCUCUUCAUCAGUUACUGUGAAUGAAUCAACACUGGCAUGGGAACUAAAAACAAUUUGCCAACCUAGGUGUAUUUCAAGGUGUACGUAACAUGCCAUUUAAAUUGGAUAUUUCAACCGAGAUACCCAGUUGAUAACAAGUACAGUUGAUAACAAGAAUCAAAGUAAAUUUCAACAUAGACUUCUUAAUUAAGUCAGCUUUGAAUAUUUUAUUUGGGAAUGGGUUGCGUGAUUUUGGGGGGUCUUUUUCCAGAGGCCCUGUGUCAAGAUGAAAAAAUAAAGAUAAAAAAGUGGAUCCAGGUUGGCCAAGUAUUUUGUAGAGAUAGCAUUAAGACUCUCUUUAUGGAGUCAUCUUCUUUCCACCCAAGGCUAUUGAGGGAUUCUUUCCUGGGAGACUUGGCAAGUAUGCAAUCAAAAUGCCACAGGGCACUGGUGCCACAAUCAUACUUGAGAAUGUUGAAGUGGCUUGUGUACAAGAGAACUGUGUAUGUGGGGGAAAAACUACAUCGUUACCAUUGUAAGUCAAUGGGGGUAUGAAUACUGACUGGGACCAGUAUUUUCCAAUGAAUCUUUCCAAAGAUUUUCUUUCCAGGUGAGGGGACCCCAGUGAAAGCAAGCUGAAAGGAUCACCAGGACAGAAACUGAGUUGAGAUUGGAAUCUACAGAGUCCAGAAGAACCACUGCCCAGGGGGCAGGUGUUAGAAUUGAUGGGACCCGGGGGCAAGAAACUUCAAAGACUUGCAAAAGCACCCGCACAAGGAUGUCAGCUUUAAAACAUCUGCAAGGUCUAAGAAACACAGCAUCUGCUCAUAACAACAGUGGUCAUGUAAGAAGUACAAAUAUUCUUGUCACUUUAAUACCAACCUCUCCCAACCUCCAGUUGGUGGAUGCAGAAGGAAAUAUUUCCUCCCAUUGAAGGCCACAGACUUCAGCUGAGGGGAGGAAAUCAGACUUAACUUUCAAUCAAGUGAAGACAUCAAAAAAUUAUCUGAAAGAGUACAUUUUAUACUAUUUGAGAUCAUAUUUGUUACUGGAAGAGUUACAGGCCUUUUUGCUCUCUGAAAGUGACCCCCAAAAGUUGUAGAAAUUGCAUUGUCACUCAAAAGCAGGGGAUGGACCAAAAGUAUUGAUGGACUGAAAGUGGGACUUUGGGAAACAGAAAUACAGCAGUUCAUCUUAUGAUAGCAUGUAUUUAUUGGACAACAAUUAUGCGCCAGUGUACUGGAUAUAUGUGGAUGGGAGAAAAGCAUUUUAAGCAACUGCUGACUCAUCAGGGGGUAUAGUUAAGGACUUUAUGUUCAGUGUUCUAAAGAUGAUGUGCAUAUGGGUGGAGAGAUAAUAGAUAGGGAGUGACCUAGGCAUUCUGUUCAUUUUGUGUAAUUUCUGCAAAGGUUUGGUGAAACCUUAAGCCUGUUAACUAGGGGAAGUGUUGUGAUUCUGGUCCUCUUUGUUGACUUGACCAUAUAUGAGUUUGUCCUCUUAUCUCUGUCCUAUACCAGUUUGCAUUUAAAUUGCUGGACUGAUGUGUCAUGGGUGCUAAGUUACUUUUAGAACCUUUAUUUCCUGCCUGAAAAGUUCAGUGUUUAAGUACUGAUUUUCUUCUAUUAUGUAUAUAUCUUAUAGUUUUACUAAUUUGCAUUUGAAUUUUUUUUUUUUUUUGCAAUUUGAUGGGUUUUUGCUUAAGAUUGUUACAUAAAAUGAGCUAUUAGAAAUAAAAUGAGGGACUAUUACAUAAAAGAGUCAUUUUCCUUUUCUUUCAUAUUCAAGACCAUUGGGAAGAAAUCUGGAUUCUGGUGACAAUUGUUUUGCAGGUUCUCCAGUAGGGAUGAAUGAGCAGGACUUGUGUUCUAUGCAGCAUUGUAAUACUCUGGGUAGGUGAUUUAUUUGGCUGCCUCCCCUAAUACACUCAUACACAGCCUGCCUUGUAGGCCCUCUUAGACAGAAUGGAAAAAAAUCACUUUGACUUAUGAUGGAAAAAGAAAAAUGUUCAUGCUGAAUGCACUAUUGCUGCAUCAAAGUUCUUAACUGUGUAGCUGUCUUGUCUGAAAAUUUUACCAUUUACUUCUAUAAUCUUCAUUUAUGUGUGGUAGAACAAAUUCCAAACUAAUGGAAUUCAAAUUUUAGAACUGAAUUAUUUUGAUCAUUUAGUAACAG